rnacentral:rRNA from 1 species
UACAGAGGGUGCGAGCGUUGUUCGGAAUUACUGGGCGUAAAGCGCGCGCAGGCGGCUUUUUAAGUCCGACGGUGAAAUGCCGGGGCUCAACCCCGUGCCCGCCGCGGAUACUGGGAAGCUGGAGACGAGUAGAGGCAAGCGGAAUUCCGGGUGUAGCAGUGGAAUGCGUAGAGAUCCGGAAGAACACCGGAGGCGAAGGCGGCUUGCUGGGCUCGGUCUGACGCUGAGGCGCGAAAGCGUGGGGAGCGAACAGG